rnacentral:rRNA from 1 species
AGGACGAACGCUGGCGGCGUGCUUAACACAUGCAAGUCGAGCGGUAAGGCCUUUCGGGGUACACGAGCGGCGAACGGGUGAGUAACACGUGGGUGAUCUGCCCUGCACUCUGGGAUAAGCCUGGGAAACUGGGUCUAAUACCGGAUAUGACCUGCUCUCGCAUGGGGGUGGGUGGAAAGAUUUAUUGGUGCAGGAUGGGCCCGCGGCCUAUCAGCUUGUUGGUGGGGUAAUGGCCUACCAAGGCGACGACGGGUAGCCGACCUGAGAGGGUGACCGGCCACGACUGGGACUGAGACACGGCCCAGACUCCUACGGGAGGCAGCAGUGGGGAAUAUUGCACAAUGGGCGAAAGCCUGAUGCAGCGACGCCGCGUGAGGAUGAAGGCCUUCGGGUUGUAAACCUCUUCAGCAGGACGAAGCGCAAGUGACGUACCUGCAGAAGAAGCACCGGCUAACUACGUGACCAGCAAGCCGC